rnacentral:sRNA from 1 species
UGUUUGCACUUAGCGGGAAGGGUAAGAACCUUCGACUAAGGUUCGACUCGAGCGCCAGCGAGAGAACGUUGCC